CUGGCUCAGGAUGAACGCUGGCGGCGUGCUUAACACAUGCAAGUCGAGCGAUGAAGUUUCCUUCGGGAAACGGAUUAGCGGCGGACGGGUGAGUAACACGUGGGUAACCUGCCUCAUAGAGUGGAAUAGCCUUCCGAAAGGAAGAUUAAUACCGCAUAAUGUUGAAAGAUGGCAUCAUCAUUCAACCAAAGGAGCAAUCCGCUAUGAGAUGGACCCGCGGCGCAUUAGCUAGUUGGUGGGGUAACGGCCUACCAAGGCGACGAUGCGUAGCCGACCUGAGAGGGUGAUCGGCCACAUUGGGACUGAGACACGGCCCAGACUCCUACGGGAGGCAGCAGUGGGGAAUAUUGCACAAUGGGGGAAACCCUGAUGCAGCAACGCCGCGUGAGUGAUGAAGGUUUUCGGAUCGUAAAGCUCUGUCUUUGGGGAAGGUAAUGACGGUACCCAAGGAGGAAGCCACGGCUAACUACGUGCCAGCAGCUGCGGUAAUACGUAGGUGGCGAGCGUUAUCCGGAUUUACUGGGCGUAAAGGGAGCGUAGGCGGAUGAUUAAGUGGGAUGUGAAAUACCCGGGCUCAACUUGGGUGCUGCAUUCCAAACUGGUUAUCUAGAGUGCAGGAGAGGAGAGUGGAAUUCCUAGUGUAGCGGUGAAAUGCGUAGAGAUUAGGAAGAACACCAGUGGCGAAGGCGACUCUCUGGACUGUAACUGACGCUGAGGCUCGAAAGCGUGGGGAGCAAACAGGAUUAGAUACCCUGGUGGUCCACGCCGUAAACGAUGAAUACUAGGUGUGGGGGUUUCAACACCUCCGUGCCGCCGCUAACGCAUUAAGUAUUCCGCCUGGGGAGUACGGUCGCAAGAUUAAAACUCAAAGGAAUUGACGGGGACCCGCACAAGUAGCGGAGCAUGUGGUUUAAUUCGAAGCAACGCGAAGAACCUUACCUACACUUGACAUCCCUUGCAUUACUCUUAAUCGAGGAAAUCCCUUCGGGGACAAGGUGACAGGUGGUGCAUGGUUGUCGUCAGCUCGUGUCGUGAGAUGUUGGGUUAAGUCCCGCAACGAGCGCAACCCUUGUCGUUAGUUACUACCAUUAAGUUGAGGACUCUAGCGAGACUGCCUGGGUUAACCAGGAGGAAGGUGGGGAUGACGUCAAAUCAUCAUGCCCCUUAUGUGUAGGGCUACACACGUGCUACAAUGGCUGGUACAGAGAGAUGCAAUACCGCGAGGUGGAGCCAAACUUUAAAACCAGUCUCAGUUCGGAUUGUAGGCUGAAACUCGCCUACAUGAAGCUGGAGUUACUAGUAAUCGCGAAUCAGAAUGUCGCGGUGAAUACGUUCCCGGGUCUUGUACACACCGCCCGUCACACCAUGAGAGUUGGCAAUACCCGAAGUCCGUGAGCUAACCGCAAGGAGGCAGCGGCCGAAGGUAGGGUCAGCGAUUGGGG
rnacentral:rRNA from 1 species